rnacentral:lncRNA from 1 species
AUUGCUUAUAUGCUAUUGAAUAAUGAUUAAUGGUUAUUUGAGUUGAAUAUGAGAAAUCCGAGAAAGUUCUGAUAAUGUGACGACGUCCAAAAAGUCCCGUACGAACCAUAAGAAUAGUUAGGAUACAUGUAUCAUGAUAUAGGAUCCCGAUAUGUGAUUUCGUGUAAGACCACAUCUAGGACGUUGGCAUCGAUUUGAAAUUAAAGUGUAAGACCAUGUCUGGGACAUUGGUAUCGUAUUAAGACCAUGUCUGGGACAUUGGUAUCGUAUUUGAUUUUGUGUAAGACCCUAUCUGGGACAAUGGCAUCGAUAUUUGAUUACAUGUAAGACCACGUCUAGGACGUUGGCAUUGUACGAGUUUUUCGAGUUAUCAACGGUUCAACGGCCACUCCGAGAAACAACUGACUAUGUGAAUGUGUAUCCAAUGCAGGUACGUUUGAAAUGUAUAUCAUGUUUGAAAAUGAAAA